AAUGAACGUUGGCGGCGUGGAUUAGGCAUGCAAGUCGUGCGGAAAGGCUCCUUCGGGAGUACUCGAGCGGCGAAAGGGAGAGUAACGCGUGGAUAUCUACCCCCUGGUCUGGGAUAGCGGCGGGAAACUGCCGGUAAUACCAGAUAAUGUCUGCGGACCAAAGGUGUGAUUCCGCCGGGGGAUGAGUCCGCGUCCGAUUAGCUCGUUGGUGGGGUAAUGGGCUACCAAGGCGAAGAUGGGUACCGGGUGUGAGAGCAUGGCCCGGCUCACUGGGACUGAGACACUGCCCAGACACCUACGGGUGGCUGCAGUCGAGAAUCUUCGGCAAUGGGCGCAAGCCUGACCGAGCGACGCCGCGUGCGGGAUGAAGGCCUUCGGGUUGUAAACCGCUGUCAGAGGGGAGGAAAUGCGUGGUAGUUAUCUUCCAUGUUUGACCUAUCCUCAGAGGAAGUACGGGCUAAGUUCGUGCCAGCAGCCGCCGUAAUAC
rnacentral:rRNA from 1 species